rnacentral:rRNA from 1 species
UACAGAGGGUGCAAGCGUUGUCCGGAAUCACUGGGCGUAAAGGGCGCGUAGGUGGCCUGAUAAGUAGGAGGUGAAAUCCUGAGGCUCAACCUCGGGCGUGCGAUGGAUACUGCCGGGCUAGAGGGUGGUAGAGGCGUGUGGAAUUCCGGGUGUAGUGGUGAAAUGCGUAGAGAUCCGGAGGAACACCAGUGGCGAAGGCGACACGCUGGGCCGUACCUGACACUGAUGCGCGACAGCAUGGGGAGCAACAGGAGUAG